rnacentral:rRNA from 1 species
GGGCGUUAAGCGUGCGCAGGCGGUCCGCUAAGACAGAUGUGAAAUCCCCCGGGCUUAACCUGGGAACUGCAUUUGUGACUGGCGGGCUAGAGUAUGGCAGAGGGGGGUAGAAUUCCACGUGUAGCAGUGAAAUGCGUAGAGAUGUGGAGGAAUACCGAUGGCGAAGGCAGCCUCCUGGGCCAAUACUGACGCUCAUGCACGAAAGCGUGGGGAGCAAACAGGAUUAGAUACCCUGGUAGUCCACGCCCUAAACGAUGUCAACUAGUUGUCGGGUCUUCAUUGACUUGGUAACGAAGCUAACGCGUGAAGUUGACCGCCUGGGGAGUACGGUCGCAAGAUUAAAACUCAAAGGAAUUGACGGGGACCCGCACAAGCGGUGGAUGAUGUGGAUUUAAUUUCGAUGCAACGCGAAAAACCUUUACCUACCCCUUUGACAUGUAUGGAAUCCUGCUGAGAGGUGGGAGUUGCCCCGAAAGGGAGCCAUAACACAGGUGCUGCAUGGCUGUCGUCAGCUUCGUGUCGUGAGAUGUUGGGGUUAAGUCCCGCAACGAGCGCAACCCCUUGUCCCCUAGUUUGCUACGCAAGAGCACUCUAGGGAGACUGCCCGGUGACAAACCCGGAGGAAGGUGGGGAUGACGUCAAGUCCUCAUGGCCCUUAUGGGUAGGGCUUCACACGUCAUACAAUGGUCGGAACAGAGGGUCGCCAACCUCGCGAGGGGGAGCUCAAUCCUCAGAAAACCGAUCGUAGUCCGGAUCGCACUCUGCCACUUCGAGUGCGUGAAGCUGGAAUCGCUAGUAAUCGCGGAUCAGCAUGCCGCGGUGAUACGUUCCUCGGGUCUUGUACACACCCGCCCGUC